UGGGGAGGCUCUAGGGGGCUCCAGAGGCAUUUAGGAAGGCUCUGUGGAGGCUCUAGGGGGCUGGGGAGGCUCUAGAGAGGCUCUAGAGGGGUUUAUGGGGCCUCUAGGAGGCCGGGGAGGCCCUACAGAGGCUUGAUGGAGGCUCUGGGGGGCUUUGUGGAGGUUCUGGGGGGCUGGGGAGGCUCUGGGGAGGCUUUAUGGGGGCUCUGGGGGGCUUUGUGGGGGCUCUGAAGGCCCUGGAGGCCCUAGGGAGGUUCUGUGGAGGCUCUUUUUGGGGCGGGGAGGUUUUAGGGAGGCUCCACGGAGGCUCCACGGGGCCUUUAUGGGGCUGGGGGCCUCUGCAGGGGCUCUGUGGGGUCUCUGGAGGCUGUUUGGGGUCUCUGUGGGGGCUCUGUGGGGACGUGGCCUCGCACAUGUUGCGGGCCCCCCCCCACCCCCUGGGCCGUUGGGUGACCCUGUCCUUGUGUCCUUGUGUCCCCCUGUCCCCAUCUUUCUGUCCCCAUCCCCCUGUCCCCAUGUGCCCCUGUCCCCAUCCCCCUGUCCCUGUCCACCUCCCCCUGUCCCCAUGUCCCCAUCCUUCUGUCCCCAUCCCUUUGUCCCUACCCAUGUUGCCAUGUCCCUAUAUCCUGUGUCCCCAUGUCCCCGUGUCCCCAUAUCCCUGUAUCCCCAUCCUUCUGUCCCUAUCCCCGUGUCCCUAUCCACAUCCCUGUGUCUCCAUGUCCCCAUGUCCCUAUCCCUGUCCCCAUGUCCACGUGUCCCCAUGUCCCUGUCCCUAUAUCCCUGUGUCCCCAUGUCCCCAUAUCCCCGUGUCCCAUGUCCCUUGUCCCCAUUGUCCCUAUAUCCCCAUAUCCCUAUGUCCCCAUGUCCCUAUCCAUGCCCCGUGACCCCACCCAUGACCCCGUGACCCCACCCAUGACCCCGUGACCCCACCCAUGACCCCGCCCCCUGCCCCGCCCCCAGGCAGGCGCGCCUGCCGGGCCCGUUCCGGGAGUCCUACCUGUCCCCGGCGCAGUCGGUGAAGCCGCGCAUCGACUCGCAGGAGAAGCUGCCCCGCGACAAGCUCAGCCCGCCCACCCCCAGCAUCUACGUGAGUCAUUGGCCGGCCCCGGGGGCGCCCCGCCCUCAUUGGUCAGCGGGCGGGCGUGUCCCAGGGCAUCCUUGCCCUGAUUGGUUCAUGAUUGGGCGUUUCCCAGGGUAUCCCUGCCCUGAUUGGUCCAUCGCUGGGUGUUCCCCAGGGCAUCCUUGCCCUGAUUGGUUCAUGACUGGGCAUUUCCCAGGGUAUUCCUGCCCUGAUUGGUCCAUCGUUGGGCAUUUCCCAGGCAUCCCCGUGCUGAUUGGUCCACAGCUGGGUGUUUCUCAGGGUAUCCCCAUCCUGAUUGGCCCAUGGCCAGGUGUUUACUAGGUACCCCUGCCCUGAUUGGUUCACAGGCAGGUGUUUCCUAGGGCAUCUCCACCCUGAUUGGUCCAUAACUGGGUGUUCCCAGGGCAUCCCUGUCCUGAUUGGUCUAUGAUUGGGCGUUUCCCAGGGCAUCCCCAUCCUGAUUGGUCCAUAGCUGGGUAUUUCCCAGGCAUCCCCGUCCUGAUUGGCCCAUGGCCAGGUGUUUCCCAGGGCAUCUCUGCCCUGGUUGGUCAAUGGGCGGGCGUUUCCCAGGGAAUCCCCACUCUGAUUGGUCCAUGACUGGGCGUUUCCCAGGGAAUCUCUGCCCUGAUUGGCCGACAGCUGGGUGUUUCCCAGGGUAU
rnacentral:lncRNA from 1 species